rnacentral:rRNA from 1 species
GUAGGGUGCGAGCGUUAAUCGGAAUUACUGGGCGUAAAGCGUGCGCAGGCGGUUUUGUAAGCCAGAUGUGAAAUCCCCGGGCUUAACCUGGGAAUGGCAUUUGGGACUGCAAGGCUGGAGUAUGGCAGAGGGGACUAGAAUUCCUGGUGUAGCAGUGAAAUGCGUAGAUAUCAGGAGGAAUACCGAUGGCGAAGGCAGGUCCCUGGGCUAAUACUGACGCUCAUGCACGAAAGCGUGGGGAGCAAACAGGAUUAGAUACCCUGGUAGUCCACGCCCUAAACUAUGUCGACUGGUUGUUGGGGGUUUGACACUCUCAGUAACGAAGCUAACGCGUGAAGUCGACCGCCUGGGGAGUACGGCCGCAAGGUUA